rnacentral:lncRNA from 12 species
AUUCUGGGAAGGGAGUCUCAUGGCUGUUCAUGCCUGUGACCGUCACCAACUUCCCGAUUUCCCCGUCACUUGUUCCGACAAGCCCCAGGCUAGCCCAAAGGAGAAGCCAUUUGUUACUUGCCCCCAGAGGUGGCUCAUCAUCCCAGACCCUGACUUCUGCAGAGGAGAUGUGUAUGCGCUGCGCAGGCCCUCCCCCUCCCGGUCACAGGAAGGGCAAAACGCAUGAGACAGGCAGAUUCACGUGGUGGGUAGCACAAGGUAAGGUGAGGGCUUCAAUAUAUACUUUGGCUCAUAUUCUCCUGCACAAGCCAGUAUCAGCAGAUACCUCCCUAGUUCCCGUUCCUCAACGAUACCAUUCCUGUAGGACACAGAGGUAACAAGAGCAAACUAGCUUUGGAGACAUCAGGCCAGAAAGGGCAGGACUGUGGAAGAGAAGAGUCCUCUGCUGGAGCCAGGAGAACCAUGAAGGAUCCCAGGCUACCCAAGACGGCCUCGUCCCUGGUCAUCACUGCCCACAGUUGGCAGGACGGCUGACACCUACCCUCAGCAGUGUGGAAGGACUCACGCCUGCAAAGGGGAGAUGCCGAUGCAUGUUGGAUGCCGUCUGAGGUCAGAAACAUCUCGGCCCCAGUUCAGCUGGGAGAAACCUGGAAAGGACAGAUGACCAGAGGCUUAGUCCAGGUGGCCAUGGCCUAGAACAGAAGUCAGGUAUAGGAGGGGCAGCUAACCCUAGAACCCGGGGCCUCCCCUGCGGGGAGGCAGUUGAGAGUCACCAGGCAGCUGACUUGGCACUGUCACUAGUUUAGCUGUCUAACCUUGGCCAAGUCGCAUAAACACUCCCUGGGUGGGGCGCAGAGGAGAAGGCGUAUAGGAAGGUGCCCUGGGAGAGCUCCGGGCAGCGGCCGGAUAAGAGGCAGUGCGGUGUCACGGGCUUUGGAGAGACGUGGGACUGAGUGCAGAUUCUGCCGCUGUGACUUCCUUGCUUUGUGACCUUGAUCAAGUUACAUGACCUCCCCGUGCUUCGGUUUCCUUCUGUGUAAAAUGGAAAACUUAACUGUCUCUUGACUUGCAACGGAGAGUGGUGCUAUCGAAAGUGCUGGUGGUAUCGCCCUCAGCCUCCUCGGGCCCAUGCAGACCUCACCAGCUCUGGAAGCGAGGCUGAGCAUCAGAGAGGGUGUCUGUGGGCCGGAGGGACCCAGCCAAUGGCCAUGCCAAAGACUUGGGUGAACUCAGUGCAUCAUACAGCCCUCUGUCCCCCUCUGGGAAAGCCCAAAACGUCCUUUCUCAUUCAAUGGGAAUGAGAGCGAGGGUUUGAAUAAAUGAGAGGUCAAGUGCGGGGCA